rnacentral:rRNA from 1 species
CCUGAUUCAGCCAUGCCGCGUGUAUGAAGAAGGCCUUCGGGUUGUAAAGUACUUUCAGUCGUGAGGAAGGCGGCGUCGUUAAUAGCGGCGUUGUUUGACGUUAGCGACAGAAGAAGCACCGGCUAACUCCGUGCCAGCAGCCGCGGUAAUACGGAGGGUGCGAGCGUUAAUCGGAAUUACUGGGCGUAAAGCGCAUGCAGGUGGUUUGUUAAGUCAGAUGUGAAAGCCCGGGGCUCAACCUCGGAAUAGCAUUUGAAACUGGCAGACUAGAGUACUGUAGAGGGGGGUAGAAUUUCAGGUGUAGCGGUGAAAUGCGUAGAGAUCUGAAGGAAUACCGGUGGCGAAGGCGGCCCCCUGGACAGAUACUGACACUCAGAUGCGAAAGCGUGGGGAGCAAACAGGAUUAGAUACCCUGGUAGUCCACGCCGUAAACGAUGUCUACUUGGAGGUUGUGGCCUUGAGCCGUGGCUUUCGGAGCUAACGCGUUAAGUAGACCGCCUGGGGAGUACGGUCGCAAGAUUAAAACUCAAAUGAAUUGACGGGGGCCCGCACAAGCGGUGGAGCAUGUGGUUUAAUUCGAUGCAACGCGAAGAACCUUACCUACUCUUGACAUCCAGAGAACUUUCCAGAGAUGGAUUGGUGCCUUCGGGAACUCUGAGACAGGUGCUGCAUGGCUGUCGUCAGCUCGUGUUGUGAAAUGUUGGGUUAAGUCCCGCAACGAGCGCAACCCUUAUCCUUGUUUGCCAGCGAGUAAUGUCGGGAACUCCAGGGAGACUGCCGGUGAUAAACCGGAGGAAGGUGGGGACGACGUCAAGUCAUCAUGGCCCUUACGAGUAGGGCUACACACGUGCUACAAUGGCGCAUACAGAGGGCGGCCAACUUGCGAAAGUGAGCGAAUCCCAAAAAGUGCGUCGUAGUCCGGAUUGGAGUCUGCAACUCGACUCCAUGAAGUCGGAAUCGCUAGUAAUCGUGGAUCAGAAUGCCACGGUGAAUACGUUCCCGGGCCUUGUACACACCGCCCGUCACACCAUGGGAGUGGGCUGCAAAAGAAGUAGGUAGUUUAACCUUCGGGGGGACGCUUACCACUUUGUGGUU